rnacentral:rRNA from 1 species
GGGUUGUGAGGUUAAGCGACUAAGCGUACACGGUGGAUGCCCUGGCAGUCAGAGGCGAUGAAGGACGUGCUAAUCUGCGAAAAGCGUCGGUAAGGUGAUAUGAACCGUUAUAGCCGGCGAUGUCCGAAUGGGGAAACCCAGUGCAAUUCGUUGCACUAUCGUUAACUGAAUACAUAGGUUAACGAGGCGAACCGGGGGAACUGAAACAUCUAAGUACCCCGAGGAAAAGAAAUCAACCGAGAUUCCCCCAGUAGCGGCGAGCGAACGGGGAGCAGCCCAGAGUCUGAAUCAGCUUGUGUGUUAGUGGAACGGUCUGGAAAGUCCGACGGUACAGGGUGAUAGUCCCGUACACCAAAAUGCACAGGUUGUGAACUCGAAGAGUAGGGCGGGACACGUGGUAUCCUGUCUGAAUAUGGGGGGACCAUCCUCCAAGGCUAAAUACUCCUGACUGACCGAUAGUGAACCAGUACCGUGAGGGAAAGGCGAAAAGAACCCCGGCGAGGGGAGUGAAAAAGAACCUGAAACCGUGUACGUACAAGCAGUGGGAGCACCUUCGGGUGUGACUGCGUACCUUUUGUAUAAUGGGUCAGCGACUUAUAUUCUGUAGCAAGGUUAACCGUAUAGGGGAGCCGCAGGGAAACCGAGUCUUAACUGGGCGUUAAGUUGCAGGGUAUAGACCCGAAACCCGGUGAUCUAGCCAUGGGCAGGUUGAAGGUUGGGUAACACUAACUGGAGGACCGAACCGACUAAUGUUGAAAAAUUAGCGGAUGACUUGUGGCUGGGGGUGAAAGGCCAAUCAAACCGGGAGAUAGCUGGUUCUCCCCGAAAGCUAUUUAGGUAGCGCCUCGUGAACUCAUCUUCGGGGGUAGAGCACUGUUUCGGCUAGGGGGUCAUCCCGACUUACCAACCCGAUGCAAACUACGAAUACCGAAGAAUGUUAUCACGGGAGACACACGGCGGGUGCUAACGUCCGUCGUGAAGAGGGAAACAACCCAGACCGCCAGCUAAGGUCCCAAAGUCACAGUUAAGUGGGAAACGAUGUGGGAAGGCACAGACAGCCAGGAUGUUGGCUUAGAAGCAGCCAUCAUUUAAAGAAAGCGUAAUAGCUCACUGGUCGAGUCGGCCUGCGCGGAAGAUGUAACGGGGCUAAACUGUGCACCGAAGCUGCGGCAGCGACACUAUGUGUUGUUGGGUAGGGGAGCGUUCUGUAAGCCUGCGAAGGUGGCCUGUGAGGGUUGCUGGAGGUAUCAGAAGUGCGAAUGCUGACAUAAGUAACGAUAAUGCGGGUGAAAAGCCCGCACGCCGGAAGACCAAGGGUUCCUGUCCAACGUUAAUCGGGGCAGGGUGAGUCGACCCCUAAGGCGAGGCCGAAAGGCGUAGUCGAUGGGAAACAGGUUAAUAUUCCUGUACUUGGUGUUACUGCGAAGGGGGGACGGAGAAGGCUAUGUUAGCCGGGCGACGGUUGUCCCGGUUUAAGCAUGUAGGCGGAGGUUCCAGGUAAAUCCGGUACCUUUUAACGCUGAGGUGUGAUGACGAGGCACUACGGUGCUGAAGUAACAAAUGCCCUGCUUCCAGGAAAAGCCUCUAAGCAUCAGGUAACAUCAAAUCGUACCCCAAACCGACACAGGUGGUCAGGUAGAGAAUACCAAGGCGCUUGAGAGAACUCGGGUGAAGGAACUAGGCAAAAUGGUGCCGUAACUUCGGGAGAAGGCACGCUGAUAUGUAGGUGAAGCCCCUGCGGGUGGAGCUGAAAUCAGUCGAAGAUACCAGCUGGCUGCAACUGUUUAUUAAAAACACAGCACUGUGCAAACACGAAAGUGGACGUAUACGGUGUGACGCCUGCCCGGUGCCGGAAGGUUAAUUGAUGGGGUUAUCCGUAAGGAGAAGCUCUUGAUCGAAGCCCCGGUAAACGGCGGCCGUAACUAUAACGGUCCUAAGGUAGCGAAAUUCCUUGUCGGGUAAGUUCCGACCUGCACGAAUGGCGUAAUGAUGGCCAGGCUGUCUCCACCCGAGACUCAGUGAAAUUGAACUCGCUGUGAAGAUGCAGUGUACCCGCGGCAAGACGGAAAGACCCCGUGAACCUUUACUAUAGCUUGACACUGAACAUUGAGCCUUGAUGUGUAGGAUAGGUGGGAGGCUUUGAAGCGUGGACGCCAGUCUGCGUGGAGCCAACCUUGAAAUACCACCCUUUAAUGUUUGAUGUUCUAACGUUGGCCCCUAAUCGGGGUUGCGGACAGUGUCUGGUGGGUAGUUUGACUGGGGCGGUCUCCUCCCAAAGAGUAACGGAGGAGCACGAAGGUUAGCUAAUCCUGGUCGGACAUCAGGAGGUUAGUGCAAUGGCAUAAGCUAGCUUGACUGCGAGCGUGACGGCGCGAGCAGGUGCGAAAGCAGGUCAUAGUGAUCCGGUGGUUCUGAAUGGAAGGGCCAUCGCUCAACGGAUAAAAGGUACUCCGGGGAUAACAGGCUGAUACCGCCCAAGAGUUCAUAUCGACGGCGGUGUUUGGCACCUCGAUGUCGGCUCAUCACAUCCUGGGGCUGAAGUAGGUCCCAAGGGUAUGGCUGUUCGCCAUUUAAAGUGGUACGCGAGCUGGGUUUAGAACGUCGUGAGACAGUUCGGUCCCUAUCUGCCGUGGGCGCUGGAGAAUUGAGGGGGGCUGCUCCUAGUACGAGAGGACCGGAGUGGACGCAUCACUGGUGUUCGGGUUGUCAUGCCAAUGGCAUUGCCCGGUAGCUAAAUGCGGAAGAGAUAAGUGCUGAAAGCAUCUAAGCACGAAACUUGCCCCGAGAUGAGUUCUCCCUGAGACUUUAAGUCUCCUGAAGGAACGUUAAAGACGAUGACGUUGAUAGGUCGGGUGUGUAAGCGUAGCGAUACGUUGAGCUAACCGAUACUAAUGAACCGUGAGGCUUAACCUUACAACGCCGAAGCUGUU